GACCCGAAUAAACUGUGGGUUAGAGUUCUACAAUAUAAGUAUUGCAAUGGGAAUCAAGUGAAUGGUAACAUUAGAAGUAGGAAUACAAAUUCAAGUUUUUGGAAAGAACUUGUGAAGUUGUGGUCCAUUUUUCAAGAAUACUCAAUUUAGUAUAUAGACAAUAUUCUCAAUACAUAUUUUUGGAAUGAUUAUUGGGUUGAAGGAGAAAAAGAUCUAAGAUAGUAUGUUAUAACUCCUUUUUCUUUUUUCUUUUUUUUGAUAGUUCUAGUAAGAUCCCACAAUGAGAUAAAGUUCAAACCAAUACAAGAGUAUAUAAGACAAGCAAAGAAAAACAACCACCCACAAAAGAACAUAUAAUAUAACUAAUCAAUACAUAAUCAACCAUCAAUAUGACUCCAAAUCAGUAGGUAAGGCUCCUAAUUUAGGUCUCUCAUGUACUAUCCAUAUCUCACUUUGCUGCAUGCAUGGCUUGGCCCUUCACCCAUGUUCUACACCAAUGCUCAAUCUCCCAUUCUAUUGUAUUUAGAUUCGUAUUCUUACCAAUUAAAGAUCUUUUCAUUUCUCACCUUUCAAAUACACCAGAUAGUUGUUAAGAACACCAUAGUCCAAACCUUCUUUUCUCCUCUAGCACUAGAAGCCUCCAACCAUGAGUUGAAACAGGAUCUGACACCUCCUUGCCAUAACCACACAAUUCCCCGUCUUUUAAUGCACCUCGACCAUAACUCCCAGGCCAAGUUACAUGAGAAGAAUAAGUGAUAAAUACUUUCUGUCUCACCUCUACAUAUUGGGCAUUGAGCUAUUUCUAAAGGAAGAAUACUACAUCGAGACAACCUUUCUCUUGUGUUGAGCUUUUUUCGCAACACAAACCAAUUUAAAAGUUCAACCCAUGAUAGAAAAUGGUUUUUUCACAAGUUUCUUAGAGAAAGCAACUCUCCCUCAUCUUCGACCUGUCUGUCUUGUGCAUAAUAUACAUGCAUGAGGGAUUUAACAGAGAAGACACCUGAUUUAUCAUGUAUCCUCCCUACCACUCGAAAACUCCACCUUCGCUAAGACUUGAAGAAAUUUUUUAAGCAUUUCUUCUUCUCAGAUUUACAGUGGUCUUUGCCACUAUAGAUUUCAAUUACACCCCAGCCCGUCCUAUACCUUAAAUUCUCCAAAAACACAAUCCUAAUAUGCUGCCACCAUGAACAUUCUAGGAAAAGAAUCCUUCAGCAGCCCUCUUUUAGCCAUCUGUGCACCCAAAACUUUGUUCUCAAUCUAUCACCAACAACAAUCUGGACACCAUCCUUAUAAAUAUUAGCCAAACUCACAUCCUUGUUUCUAAUGUUCAUAAUAUCAAGGAGGAGGAACAGCCACCGCAUUGUCCAUUGGGUACAGCCACCAUCGUAGGAGGAGCAGAACGCAGAAGUCAGCCACCAUCGUAGGAGGAGCAGAAAGUAGAAGUAGAAUGCAGAGGAGGAGGAGGAGGAGGAGCACCGCGUAGGUUUCACGUAUUCAGUAGGUUUCACCAUUUCAGCGUCUCAGGGAGGAGGAGAUCAGAUUCUAGGGCUUUUAGGGCCAAUCCUGUCUUAAUUUUUUAAGGGGGGGACUUAAUUAGGGAUAGGGCUUAAAAAAAUAUGAUUUUGUAAAUUUUGGGGAUAUGGACUAGAAUUAUUUUGGAAGGUUUAGGGCCAGCUCUAGGGUCUUGGGCUCAAUUGACACCUCUACAGCCACCAUGCCAAAGUCUUCUUGUGGAGUGCUCUUCAUAGAAGAAUUUUUAUACAAACACAAGGCAAGCAAAAAUUUUUGGGGAUAAUGGAAAUGUAAUUACUGCUAGAGAGAAC